rnacentral:misc_RNA from 1 species
CCGAGUUUACAACUCCCAGACCCCUGUGAACAUACCUAUACGUUGCCUCGGCGGAUCAGCCCGCGCCCCGUAAAACGGGACGGCCCGCCCGAGGACCCCUAAACUCUGUUUUUAGUGGAACUUCUGAGUAAAACAAACAAAUAAAUCA